CGCAACCUAAAGGCAGUACAUAAUACGAAUACAAACUAAGGGUGUGUUGAAUAUAAAUAAUACAGAUGGUCCGAAUAAUCCUUAUACAUUAGUCUAAUCUUAUGUGUGCUAAUUUAAGUUUAUUUGGGCCUCGCCAAUCGCAAUCAAAUUUUGAGGUUUUUUGUUCCUUGAGUUCUGUGCCGCCGUGGUGGUGAUCUUUGUAAAGAGUUCAUCGAGAUGUUGUGCAAACAUUCAAGGCGUUUGCCUUUUCGAGAAUUGCAAGGGUAUGUUUGCCUUUACACCAAAAAUUAACUCGUGGGGAGUAAAACCUGUGGCCUCAUGUACUGAGGUAUUAUAGGAAAAAAUGCAAAGUCUUAUCCAAUCAUUCCAAUCUAUUUUUGUGCAAUAAUGCUUGAGAAAUUUUUCAUGGUUUGGCUGAUGAAAUUCCUUCCUUGGUCAGUAUGAAUUGGACACCCAAAUCUGCAAUUAGUCAGCAAGGGCAUAUGCAACAGUUGCUGUGUCUAUACUACGUAAUGGAAUUGCAUCUGAAUACUUAGUGAGAUUAUCCUGUAGGAUGAGUAAAUACUGAUUUCCUUUACUAGUUACGGGUGGGACAGGAUCGAACAAAUUUAAUUUCUUAUGCCACGCCUGGCCAAUAGAAACGUUCUUGGAUAAGCUGACGAAAUUCAAAGGAGCCUCAGUGGCCUUCAAUUACCGAUUCAUGAUGUUCUUUAAUGAUUUGGGGGCGUCUCAUCUCAAGCGGGAUUAUAAUGUCUUUACUGCACACUGUAAUUACAUAUAGUGGAUCAUUAAAAAUCUUCCUAAGCAGAUCCAAUAUGUUGUUUUGUUUGGAAGAAUUGAACCUAUCCGAGUCUAUUAAUAUACUGAAGGUUUUCGAAUUCAAAGAGUCUGGGAGGACUUUAAGUGAUUUUAACGAAGAUUUGAUAUGAUCAAGGUUAAAUUCGUCUUGGGGUUCGGUCUUAAAGAACAAGAAGAAAAUGGAAUGAUAAAAGGCCGUGUAAUUAUAAGAAUGCUGCUUUAAUAAUGGAAACAAACAUUUAUUAGAGAACGUGUAAGUUACAAAAAGGUUGCAUCAGCAAGUAAAGGAAAAAAAGGUGAAUCCGGGAAGACAGAACUGCAACUUAGAACAAUAAAAGGAACCAUAAAACGUGCAUCGCAGUUAGCACCUCUUAACACCUAUAGUCUCGUAAUGUUAAUAUGCCUAUCAUUAAUUGCAACAUGGAAUAUUUGUCGUUUGGGAAAGCCAUAGCAUUACCAACAUUGGCUUGGUAUUGCUGUAUCUGCUCCAUUGAAAAUCCAAUUUGGCCUAGUAGGCCCUCAGUGCUUUGAGAGGUGUCGCUGUGAUUUAAGGAGGUAAAGUGGGCGAGAUUAUCUUGCUGUACGAUGAGGUGAUCCUUUUUGUGAAAUAUGGUGGGGGAUAAGGGAGGAGAUGCCGUUGAUCUAUUUACGUCGAAGUUAAAUUUCCCGGCGAGGUCACUCCACUGGAUUCCCCUGUGCAGUCUUGGUCGCUAACAUUCAUACUUUCCCCUGCCAACCUCAAUUCCCUUGACCGAGGUGGCCUUCCACCCGGUUCCCUUGACCGGAUGGGAUUUAUCCCUAUUCCAACUUCGAUUCCCUUGAUCGAGGCAGCCUUCCACCCGGUUCCCUUGACCGGAUGGGAUUUCCAUGCACACACGGGGCACCCCUCUCCCCUGAGACAUUGAGCACAGAUUCCCUCUUACAGCCCACGAUUGGGUUCCUGGGGUUCGGAUUAUACACCUGUUAGCCAACGAUGGACUGAGUCGAGGAGACUCUGGGGUACUCAAUUGGGGCGUUCCUUUAUGUAAUUCUCGCGAACUGUUCACUACUGAACACAAAGGCGAUAAGACUAUCAUUUUCGGCGCAUGAUACUUCAUCUAUCCCGUC